rnacentral:rRNA from 1 species
UGGGGAAUAUUGCACAAUGGGCGCAAGCCUGAUGCAGCCAUGCCGCGUGUAUGAAGAAGGCCUUCGGGUUGUAAAGUACUUUCAGUCGGGAGGAAGGUGGUAAGGUUAAUAACCUUAUCAAUUGACGUUACCCGCAGAAGAAGCACCGGCUAACUCCGUGCCAGCAGCCGCGGUAAUACGGAGGGUGCAAGCGUUAAUCGGAAUUACUGGGCGUAAAGCGCACGCAGGCGGUUUGUUAAGUCAGAUGUGAAAUCCCCGGGCUCAACCUGGGAACUGCAUCUGAUACUGGCAAGCUUGAGUCUCGUAGAGGGGGGUAGAAUUUCAGGUGUAGCGGUGAAAUGCGUAGAGAUCUGGAGGAAUACCGGUGGCGAAGGCGGCCCCCUGGACGAAGACUGACGCUCAGGUGCGAAAGCGUGGGGAGCAAACAGG